GUGCACCGCCUUCCACGCCUGACACACCCAAUCGGCGGUCAUGGCGUGCUCCCCCUCCUCCGCUGCCACCUAAAAACAAAAAAGAAGAGGACAAAUCGGAGGAGAUAAAAAGAAAAAAUUAAAGGAAAGAAAGGGGUCUGGAACUUUGGGGAGAAAAACAGAAAAAACAACAAAAAAAUCUGAGAGAAAAAUCAAAAAGAGCAAGGAAAAGCCUCCGUUCUCAGCGCGCCACCACCACCGUAGCACCGUCGUCACCACCCCGCUUAGAAGACGACCAAGGAGCAACCUACAAGAAUCUAAGAAAACCCAAAAAUC
rnacentral:lncRNA from 1 species